GUGGCUAGGUUUGCCACAAUGCUCCCCAGAACCAAGCCAGCAUACGGAUCAGCUUGGGGAUGUCCGGAGGAGUACUCACAGAUCACUUUUCAAGGUCUGUUUGUCUGGAUAACCCGUCGGCGUUGCCAUUUUGCUUCCCAGGGCGGUAGUGGAUGGUCAAAAGUCAAAAGGCUGCAGCGCCAAACUCCAGCGCAGCAGCCUGGCAUUGUCUCCUGACACACCAACGGGUUGUGAUCUGUGAGUAAUGUAAAGGGUUGUCCAUACAAAUAUGGUUGCAGCUUUUUGAGGGCCCACACCACAUCCAGGCAUUCCUUUUCAAUGGCGGCGUAGCUUACUUCUCUGGGUAAAAGUUUUCUGCUGAGGUAAGCUACUGGGUGCUCGCCACCAUUUGCUCCGACUUGACUCAGUACUGCUCCCAAUCCAAACAUAGAAGUGUCUGUAUGGACGAGAAAGCGUUUAGUUGGAUCAGGAGCAGAAAGUACAGGUGAUUUAAUAAGCGCAGUCUUGAUCUGUUGGAAUGCCUGUUCACACUCUGGGGACCAUACCACUAUCUUAGGGAGAUUCUUACGGGUUAGGUCGGUGAGGAGUUUGGCUAGGGUACUGUAGUUGGACACAAAUUGUAGAGUAUUACUAGGAACGCGAGGACUUGCGUCUUGGUGCGGGGGGUUGGCCACUUGGCGACCGCCUCUAUUUUAGCGGGUCGCCAAGAUAGGAGCAAGCAUACUCCUGGAACCCAUCUAGUAGCCGAUCCACCAUCCUCUGAAAGGUAGCCGGGGCAUUUUACCUUUGUAAAUCGCUCCCCCUGCCACCCGUACAGCGACACAGUCCCCGGUUAGAUUAUGCUUUGGCACCAGAUGAUUUCGGACUAGCGUUAAGGUGGCCCCAGAGUCUCGUAGACCUUGUACCUUUUUCCCCUCCAUGUGUACUUCCUGUCGGUGUCCCUGUCGGUUAUCAGAGGCGACCUGGAUGGGGUUUACCUCAUGAA